CUUCUUCGAUCUGCUGCGGGCAGAUAAAAUGGAUGUGCGCAUCGAUACCGCCGGCGGUCAGAAUAUGGCCCUCGCCGGCGAUGACUUCGGUGCCGGGGCCGACGACGAUGUCCACGCCGGGUUGAAUAUCCGGAUUGCCGGCCUUGCCGAUCUUGAAGAUGCGGCCGUCCUUGACGCCGACGUCGGCCUUGACGAUACCCCAGUAGUCGAUGAUCAGCGCGUUGGUAAUCACCAAAUCCACCGAGUGUUCGGAGCCCAGCUGACUUUGGCCCAUGCCGUCGCGGAU
rnacentral:sRNA from 1 species